rnacentral:tRNA from 1 species
GGGUGGUUAGCUCAGUUGGUAGAGCGCUUCGUUUACACCGAAGUGGUCGGGAGUUCGAGUCUCUCACCACCCACCA